AAUAAGUGUAGUUUUACACUAUUCAUCUCCAAUGUUUGACUGUUCAUCUUAUUUAAAAAAAAAUAUGAUUACUAUUUUUAUCGUUAUUAGAUAAUAAAACAUUAAUAGUACUUUAUGUGUAACUAUUUUUUAAAAAAAUUUCAUAUUUUUUUCAAAUAAGACGAAUGGUCAAACGUUGUAUACGGAUUUCUACGGCUGCACUUAUU
rfam:Oryza meridionalis cultivar OR44 (W2112) chromosome 3, whole genome shotgun sequence.